CGGUGCCUCUUGUGGCUGCAGGAAGCCGAGCCGUCCAGGAGGAGCCCAGGGAGCCGCACUGAGAUCCAGGGCGCCGCGGGAUUGAGCAGAGCGCGGAGCCCAGGUAGUAUGUCUCAGAAAUGAGACUGGAAUCCAAUUUCUCCUGACUCCCAGGCCAGUCGAUGAUCCGCUAAGGUUGAACUACAGGAAAAAUGAAGGCUCUCCUGAGUAUCGUAAUGUUUGUUGUCCUAUCUUAUUGUGAUAAUGAUACCUCUUCACAUGCAGCCAUGAACAGAACAACCACAACUUCCUAUAAUGAAUCUAGGCCUGUUAAUAUGACGACAACUGAAAUUACAACAACUCAAGUAAUUCCUCUCUUAUGUCACGUGUGCAGUGAUGAUUACCUGUGUGAAGCCCCAAAAACAUGUAAACUGACGGACAAAUACUGCGUGAUUGUGAUAAAUGUGGAUGAUCAAGCAUCGUCUAUACUCAAGUAUUGUUCGGAAACCUGUCCAUUCGGUCAAGAACUUAGAGGAAGACAAUCCCAAAGUUAUUAUACAGGCUGCUGUGUUACCAACUUGUGCAAUUUUGGAAAGAUAGGGGAAGGACACAAGCUGGGAGCCAGUAUUCCAGUGGUAGCAAUGGCAUUAGUAGUAGUUUCACUGGGACCUUCCGGAUUGGACUGUGAUAUAUUGAGAUAAAGUUCUGACCCUCCCCAAAGACCCUGUCCAUGUAGCACUCCCCAUCUGGCAAUAAGAAAUCCACAUCCAUGUCUCCCCAUAAAUCUUUCCUGAAGAAGCCAGUGAGUGUUCUGGAGGCCUUCCUCUGGUUCUCACUAACCUCAGAAUGCCAAUAUAUAAGCAUAUAUGAGUAUAUAAAGCACUGUAUAACAUGCUCUCACUGUAAAUGUUACCCUUCUUUUCCAGGCACGUAUGUCUGUCAUGAUAUCUUUGGAGCCAUUUCUUACAGGCUAAUUCACCUGGAAAGCUUGUUGUGGCCUGUGUUUAGUCUCAUCAGCCCUUUCCAUUGUCCCCUGGCUUACUUGCGAUUUUGAAUCUUCUCUGAUUGGGGUGUUUCAGGAUUUACCACCAUUGAGUAUCCCUCAAAUGAGAUCAUAGAGGUGAAAUGCUUAGCAAACCGUGUCAAGCCAUUAUGAGCUAUUAGACUGGAAGCUCUUUGAGGGCAAGAACUAUGUUUCAGCUAAUCUCUAUAUCUUCCCCACUGCCUAACACAAUAGAUCCUCAAUAAACAUUUUUAAGUGAAGGCUGC